rnacentral:rRNA from 1 species
ACGUAGGGGGCAAGCGUUGUCCGGAUUUAUUGGGCGUAAAGCGCUCGCAGGUGGUUCAUUGCGUCGUGCGUGAAAGACCCCGGCUCAACUGGGGAGGGUCGUGCGAAACGGGUGAACUAGAGGCCAGUAGGGGGAUGCGGAAUUCCGGGUGUAGUGGUGGAAUGCGUAGAGAUCCGGAGGAACACCAGCGGCGAAGGCGGCAUCCUGGACUGGUCCUGACACUCAGGAGCGAAAGCGUGGGGAGCGAUCCG